rnacentral:lncRNA from 1 species
UCCCCCUCCGCCCUACUGGACACUGGGAGACAAGAUGACGCUGGGAGACAAGAAAUGGUGAGGAGCUAGGACCGGCUCUCCCUCUCUGCCCCCAGCCCAGCCGCAGCACGCUGCACUCAUGAACCGCAUGGCUCUGUCUGUCUUGCUCAGGGAGCUCUGUGUGCUUCCUCCCACUCAUGUUUAAAUGGAUGAUAAGCUGCUUUUCUUAGAAAAACAGGAAGAGGGGGUCGGGUGCGGUGGCUCACGCCUAUAAUCCAAGCACUUUGGGAGGCCGAGGCAGGUGGAUCACCUGAGGUCAAGAGUUUGAGACCAGCCUGGCCAUGGUGAAACCCCAUCUCUACUAAAAAUACAAAAAUUAGCCAGGCGUGGUGGCGGGCGCCUGUAAUCCCCAGCUACUCAGGACGCUAAGACAGGAGAAUAGCUUGAACUCUGGAAGCAAAGGUGGCACUGAGCCGGUAUCGCUCCAUUUCACUGCAGCCUGCACAAAAAAUAUAAUAAAUAAAAAUAACACACAAACACACAUGCACACACACAGGGAUUUUCAAAAUUUUUAGAAUUUUUUGUUGUUUGUGUAAAGAUGGUAUUACGGAAACAAGGUUCAGUGAAGGAACUCAGGAAAAGGAAAGGGAAUUUUGUCUGCACCUAGGCUAUCCUAUAGUGGCUAUCCUAUAGGAUCCUAUAGGAUCUAGAGGACUGGGGAGAGCUGUGUUCCCGCUUCUCCUUUCCUCUCUAAUGCUCCCUUAUAUGGAGUCUUAGCAAAGCUUCCUCUGUCCUCGAUGUCAAAGGAGAUUUCAGAAUAUUGCCUGGGCUCCUCUUCCUGUGUUGCCAUGCCCUCUGAGUCUCGCCCUGCCCACCUCUGCACUCUGUCCUCAUUGCCUCACUUCCAUGCUCCUCUUGGGGACACUUGCACAGCUUGCUGCCCCGUGAAUGCUCCACGUCCCCUUUUCAGUUCCAGGUUGUUCCUCUGCUGGAAGAGCAUGUGCCUCGCCCGGCCUCUUUGUCUGGACACCUUCUUUUCUUUAAGAAUCCACCCAGGAAUGGCUCCUGACACUUCCAGUACCUGCAUAUUCCUAUCCUUCAGAUUUCCUAGCACUGGGCAUUAUAACAGCAUUUCUUAAAAUGGGGUCCCCAGUCCAACAGCAUCAGCAUCACAUGGGAAUUUGCUAGCAAUGCAACUUUUGGAGCCCUCCUUGGACCUCUAGGAUCUAAAACUCUGCAGGUAGGUGCAGCGUUCUGGGCUUUCAUAAUCCCUCCAGCUGACACUGAGGCGGGCUAGUGUUUGAGAACCAUGGCCUCCCAGGAAGUCAUUGCUCAUGAGAUUGUUGAUUCCCUGAGGACAGUAACUGGUUAUUUUCAAUCUGGAAAAGAAAAAUAGUAACUGAGGAAAUGAUAAAGAAAAUUUUUACUGUAGAAGAAGAAUUUUCUGACUUGAUAUUUCAAAUAUGUGCCUUCCAAAGAAGGCCUAGCUUUGUACAUUUAAAAACAAGGUUGAUUCUGUCUGGCUCAGUCUACCCCAGAUGUGGUUUUGCUGAAGAGCAGGUGUUUGGAAGAGAUAGCCUUACCAGGUGCCCUCCACUGCUCAGAUUCUCUGCUUCUAGAAUAUUCUGUGUACUAUGAAAUAAACAUAAGCUAGAGAGCAGGGCAUGAUUGCUAGGGGAGUAAAAAGAUGGUUUCUGCUUUGCAGGAUGAAAGUAUUCAUGGAUGGAUGGUGGUGUUGAUUGCAUAAAAAUGUGAAUGUAUUUAAUGCCACCAAUCUGUGCAGUUCAAGAUGGUUAAAAUUAUCAAUUUUA